rnacentral:tRNA from 1 species
GGAGAAGUGGCUGAGUGGUUUAAAGCGUCCCCCUGCUAAGGAGAUAAAUUUUAUUUCGUGGGUUCAAAUCCCACCUUCUCCG